UGGCUGUCGGCUUGACGGUGAAGCGCCGACUGUUGUGCUAUGUUCGUUUAAAGGUUUAGGUUUGGGUCGGAGCCGCGGGUUCGAUUCCCGCACAGCCAG
rnacentral:tRNA from 1 species